rnacentral:rRNA from 1 species
UACGAAGGGUGCAAGCGUUACUCGGAAUUACUGGGCGUAAAGGGUGCGUAGGUGGUCGUUUAAGUCCGUUGUGAAAUCCCUGGGCUCAACCUGGGAAUGGCAGUGGAUACUGGACGGCUAGAAUGCGGUAGAGGGUAGUGGAAUUCCCGGUGUAGCAGUGAAAUGCGUAGAUAUCGGGAGGAACACCUGUGGCGAAAGCGGCUCACUGGACCACAACUGACGCUGAGGCGCGAAAGCUAGGGGAGCAAACAGG